CCCCUAGUAACUGCGAGUGAAGUGGGAAAAGCUCAAAUUUAAAAUCUGUCAGUCUUUGGCUGUCCGAGUUGUAAUCUAGAGAAGUGUUAUCCGCGCUGGACCGUGUACAAGUCUCCUGGAAUGGAGCGUCAUAGAGGGUGAGAAUCCCGUCUUUGACACGGACUUCCAGGGCUUUGUGAUGCGCUCUCAAAGAGUCGAGUUGUUUGGGAAUGCAGCUCAAAAUGGGUGGUAAAUUCCAUCUAAAGCUAAAUAUUGGCGAGAGACCGAUAGCGAACAAGUACCGUGAGGGAAAGAUGAAAAGAACUUUGGAAAGAGAGUUAAACAGUACGUGAAAUUGCUGAAAGGGAAACGCUUGAAGUCAGUCGCGUUGUCCAGGGAUCAACCUUGCUUUUGCUUGGUGUACUUUCUGGUUGACGGGUCAGCAUCAAUUUUGACUGUUGGAAAAAAGUCAAGGGAAUGUGGCAUCUUUGGAUGUGUUAUAGCCCUUGGUUGCAUACAAUGGUUGGGAUUGAGGAACUCAGCACGCCGCAAGGCCGGGUACUACUGUACCACGUACGUGCUUAGGAUGCUGGCAUAAUGGCUUUAAUCGACCCGUCUUGAAACACGGACCAAGGAGUCUAACAUACCUGCGAGUGUUUGGGUGGAAAACCCGAGCGCGUAAUGAAAGUAAAAGUUGAGAUCCUUGUCGCGGGGAGCAUCGACGCCCGGACCAGACCUUUUGUGACGGUUCCGCGGUAGAGCAUGUAUGUUGGGACCCGAAAGAUGGUGAACUAUGCCUGAAUAGGGUGAAGCCAGAGGAAACUCUGGUGGAGGCUCGUAGCGAUUCUGACGUGCAAAUCGAUCGUCAAAUUUGGGUAUAGGGGCGAAAGACUAAUCGAACCAUCUAGUAGCUG
rnacentral:rRNA from 1 species